rnacentral:tRNA from 1 species
AUGCAACUUAGUUUAUCUAGAACAUUCAACUUGCACUUGACAGGAGAGACAUCUCACUCAGUAGC